CCUGUGCUCUGUGGCUGCCUCCUGCUCCCAGAGUGAGGGUCAUGGGAGCCUUGCUGUGCGGGGGAGCUGUCUUUGCCCCCUCCCGUGAGGAAGUCUGCUGGAGCUGCACAAAGCACCCUGAGUCCUGCCUACACCUCACUCCUAUCUCGACUUACUGGUGAUCCAAAUAAUGAUGAAUGCAAAUGUCUGUUUUGAAGGCAGAGAUCAUCCAAAAAAUGAUGAGGCCUCAGAGAUUACAGUUUGUUUUGGAGGAGGACCAAGUACUCUGCUGAACUUUUCAUAGAGGAAAUAUUUGUCUGAAGUUCUGAAGGAAACAGUAUUGAUGUUCACAGAGAUGCGACAAACUACUUGAUGAAAGAAAUCAUUUUCAAGAAAGAGUCCCAUGGGAGAAAGAGAGCCUGUUUAUUUACACUAAGAUCAAAGCAACUUUCAUAUGAAUUGAUGCUAAAUAUUUAGUACUUGAGUGACUAGCAAAAAACACUCAAAAUUUCUAAAGGAAAGAAUAAAAAAUGGGAGACAAAUCCUGAUAUAUAAAUAUAUAUAGGCUCUCUGUUGGCAAAAACUUUUUUUUAUUAUUUGCGUUACAGUAGUGUCUAGGGUCCAACUUGAGAUCAGAGACCCCUGUGUCAUACUGCAUACAAACACUUAGUAAAAUACAAUUUCUUUUCUGACAAGCUUACCAUGUAAACAGGCAAAGGUCAAGAAGAAGAACACAUUCAGAUUCAAUUUGUAUGAAUUUUCCUUAUACCAUCAAUAAAAUGUACAUUAAAUAAAAUUGUCAUGAAUUAAUCCACAAUUUCAGUGGAAAUUACUUACUGCAUAUGUUAGGCAAACCAAAUAUGAACAAAAGACCCCAUAUAUUAAUUCCUCUUGAUGAAAACUUUCCUUAGCUUCCCUACUUAUAUUCUCAUUUUCUCCUUCAUCCAAACCAAAUUUAACUACAAGUCAAAAUCAAAGCUGAGUUGGCCUUACACAAUAACAGAGGACAUUCAGUCGCAGACUGAUCAAGUACAAAAGCAAUACGAAAAGCGAGGGAUUUCUCCUUGCUGUCCGUAAGUAGAGUCCAGGAGUAGACAUCCAUCCACCAGAGAAAACCGUCUCUGUGUGGGUUCCUGGCAACCUUGCCCUGACCCAAAAUAGCUGCCUCCAGCUGGCGGGGAUCUCAGUCUCCCUCCUUAAGGGUGUGUCCUGAGGUUUAAGGAGGAACUGUGCCAAAACUGAUGAAUAUAUCUGACUGCCAGAUUUUCUGCAGCUAAGGAGGGAGAGGGCUGGGAAAUAGGUCAGUGGCAUGUAUUUCACAUAGUUCACCACCUUUUUCCCAGUCUCUAGCUGCAGGUCCCCAACCCUGCAAGACCUCCCUCUAGAAAUCAGCACGGUGCUAAUGCACAUUAGUGACUCUGGGACCAUGGUUAAUCUGGAGCUAGGCUGAAUUCACACUUCCUCAAUUCAGAAAAACUUUGUCCUCCUAUGU